rnacentral:tRNA from 1 species
GUAGUGGUUAUCACAUCUGUCUAACACACAGAAGGUCGGCGGUUCGAGUCCGCCCGAGAUCA